CAGUCGCCGCGGUAAUACAGAGGGUGCGAGCGUUAAUCGGAUUUACUGGGCGUAAAGCGUGCGUAGGCGGCUUUUUAAGUCGGAUGUGAAAUCCCUGAGCUUAACUUAGGAAUUGCAUUCGAUACUGGGAAGCUAGAGUAUGGGAGAGGAUGGUAGAAUUACAGGUGUAGCGGUGAAAUGCGUAGAGAUCUGGAGGAAUACCGAUGGCGAAGGCAGCCAUCUGGCCUAAUACUGACGCUGAGGUACGAAAGCAUGGGGAGCAAACAGGAUUAGAUACCCGUGUAGUCCCUGUCUCUUAUAC
rnacentral:rRNA from 1 species